CCACCGAACCGGGUCAGGCCCGGAAGGGAGCAGCCCUAAGGUGG
rnacentral:SRP_RNA from 1 species